rnacentral:rRNA from 1 species
GAGUUUGAUCCUGGCUCAGAUUGAACGCUGGCGGCAUGCCUUACACAUGCAAGUCGAACGGUAACAGGUCUUCGGAUGCUGACGAGUGGCGAACGGGUGAGUAAUACAUCGGAACGUGCCCGAUCGUGGGGGAUAACGAGGCGAAAGCUUUGCUAAUACCGCAUACGAUCUACGGAUGAAAGCGGGGGAUCUUCGGACCUCGCGCGGACGGAGCGGCCGAUGGCAGAUUAGGUAGUUGGUGGGAUAAAAGCUUACCAAGCCGACGAUCUGUAGCUGGUCUGAGAGGAUGAUCAGCCACACUGGGACUGAGACACGGCCCAGACUCCUACGGGAGGCAGCAGUGGGGAAUUUUGGACAAUGGGCGAAAGCCUGAUCCAGCCAUGCCGCGUGCAGGAUGAAGGCCUUCGGGUUGUAAACUGCUUUUGUACGGAACGAAAAGCCUCUUUCUAAUAAAGAGGGGUCAUGACGGUACCGUAAGAAUA